UACGAAGGGGGCUAGCGUUGCUCGGAAUCACUGGGCGUAAAGGGUGCGUAGGCGGGUCUUUAAGUCAGGGGUGAAAUCCUGGAGCUCAACUCCAGAACUGCCUUUGAUACUGAGGAUCUUGAGUUCGGGAGAGGUGAGUGGAACUGCGAGUGUAGAGGUGAAAUUCGUAGAUAUUCGCAAGAACACCAGUGGCGAAGGCGGCUCACUGGCCCGGUACUGACGUUCAGGCACGAAAGCGUGGGGAGCAAACAGG
rnacentral:rRNA from 1 species